GGUACAGUAAAGUGGUACAAAUCUUUAAAGAUUUUAAUUGUUUUAAUCUUGGCAGCUUGCAAUCGAGAGUUCGAAUCUCUCACUCACCGCCA
rnacentral:tRNA from 1 species